rnacentral:rRNA from 1 species
CCUACGGGAGGCAGCAGUGAGGAAUAUUGGUCAAUGGACGCAAGUCUGAACCAGCCAUGCCGCGUGCAGGAAGACGGCUCUCUGAGUUGUAAACUGCUUUUGUACGAGGGUAAACGCAGAUACGCGUCUCUGUCUGAAAGUAUCGUACGAAUAAGGAUCGGCUAACUCCGUGCCAGCAGCCGCGGUAAUACGGAGGAGUCAAGCGUUAUCCGGAUUUAUUGGGUUUAAAGGGUGGGAAGGCGGUCUGAUAAGUUAGAGGGGAAAUCCCGAGGUUCAACUUCGGAAUUGCCUCGGAUACUGUUCGGCUAGAGAGUAGUUGCGGUAGGCGUAAUGUAUGGGGUAGCGGUGAAAUGCUUAGAGAUCAUACAGAACACCGAUUGCGAAGGCAGCUUACCAAGCUACUUCUGACGUUGAGGCACGAAAGCGUGGGGAGCAAACAGGAUUAGAUACCCCUGUAGUC